rnacentral:rRNA from 1 species
UACGGGGGGGCAAGCGUUGUUCGGAAUUACUGGGCGUAAAGGGCUCGUAGGCGGCCAACUAAGUCAGACGUGAAAUCCCUCGGCUUAACCGGGGAACUGCGUCUGAUACUGGAUGGCUUGAAUCCGGGAGAGGGAUGCGGAAUUCCAGGUGUAGCGGUGAAAUGCGUAGAUAUCUGGAGGAACACCGGUGGCGAAGGCGGCAUCCUGGACCGGCAUUGACGCUGAGGAGCGAAAGCCAGGGGAGCAAACGGG